AUAUCAAUAAGCGGAGGAAAAGAAAAUAACAAUGAUUCCCUUAGUAACGGCGAGUGAAGGGGGAAAAGCUCAAAUUUUAAAUCGGCGUAGGUUUUACCUAGUCGAGUUGUAAUUUGAAGAAGCGUUUACCGCGUCCUGGUCGACCCAAAUCCUUUGGGAUAAGGUAUCAUGGAGGGUGAGAAUCCCGUCCGGUUGACCUCAGGAUGUUUUACGUUACGCUCUCUAAGAGUCGAGUUGUUUGGGAUUGCAGCUCAAAAUGGGAGGUAAAUUUCUCCUAAGGCUAAAUACAGGCGAGAGACCGAUAGCGCACAAGUA
rnacentral:rRNA from 1 species